AGCAGCCGCGGUAAUUCCAGCUCCAAUAGCGUAUAUUAAAGUUGUUGCAGUUAAAAAGCUCGUAGUUGAAUUUCGGGAUCAAUAUGUUGGUCGUGCCUCGGUACGUACUAGCUUAUUGGUUUCUCCUUUCUGAAGAACCAUGAUGUCAUUUAUUUGGUGUCGUGGGGAAUCAGGACUGUUACUUUGAAAAAAUUAGAGUGUUUAAAGCAGGCUCACGCUUGAAUACAUUAGCAUGGAAUAAUGAAAUAGGACGUUUGAUUCUAUUUUGUUGGUUUCUAGGAUCGACGUAAUGAUUAAUAGGGAUAGUUGGGGGCAUUAGUAUUCAAUUGUCAGAGGUGAAAUUCUUGGAUUUAUUGAAGACUAACUACUGCGAAAGCAUUUGCCAAGGAUGUUUUUCAUUAAUCAAGAACGAAAGUUAGGGGAUCGAAGACGAUCAGAUACCGUCGUAGUCUUAACCAUAAACUAUGCCGACUAGGGAUCGGAUGAUGUUAAUUUUUUAAUGACUCAUUCGGCGCCUUAC
rnacentral:misc_RNA from 1 species